rnacentral:rRNA from 1 species
UGAUGAGUAGGGCGGGACACGUGGUAUCCUGUCUGAAUAUGGGGGGACCAUCCUCCAAGGCUAAAUACUCCUGACUGACCGAUAGUGAACCAGUACCGUGAGGGAAAGGCGAAAAGAACCCCGGCGAGGGGAGUGAAAAAGAACCUGAAACCGUGUACGUACAAGCAGUGGGAGCACGCUUAGGCGUGUGACUGCGUACCUUUUGUAUAAUGGGUCAGCGACUUAUAUUCUGUAGCAAGGUUAACCGAAUAGGGGAGCCGAAGGGAAACCGAGUCUUAACUGGGCGUUAAGUUGCAGGGUAUAGACCCGAAACCCGGUGAUCUAGCCAUGGGCAGGUUGAAGGUUGGGUAACACUAACUGGAGGACCGAACCGACUAAUGUUGAAAAAUUAGCGGAUGACUUGUGGCUGGGGGUGAAAGGCCAAUCAAACCGGGAGAUAGCUGGUUCUCCCCGAAAGCUAUUUAGGUAGCGCCUCGUGAAUUCAUCUCCGGGGGUAGAGCACUGUUUCGGCAAGGGGGUCAUCCCGACUUACCAACCCGAUGCAAACUGCGAAUACCGGAGAAUGUUAUCACGGGAGACACACGGCGGGUGCUAACGUCCGUCGUGAAGAGGGAAACAACCCAGACCGCCAGCUAAGGUCCCAAAGUCAUGGUUAAGUGGGAAACGAUGUGGGAAGGCCCAGACAGCCAGGAUGUUGGCUUAGAAGCAGCCAUCAUUUAAAGAAAGCGUAAUAGCUCACUGGUCGAGUCGGCCUGCGCGGAAGAUGUAACGGGGCUAAACCAU